UACGAAGGGGGCUAGCGUUGCUCGGAUUGACUGGGCGUAAAGGGCGCGUAGGCGGUUCGUACAGUCAGACGUGAAAUUCCUGGGCUCAACCUGGGGGCUGCGUUUGAUACGUGCGGACUUGAGUGCGGAAGAGGGUCGUGGAAUUCCCAGUGUAGAGGUGAAAUUCGUAGAUAUUCGCAAGAACACCGGUGGCGAAGGCGGCCAACUGGACCAUUACUGACGCUGAGGCGCGAAAGCGUGGGGAGCAAACAGG
rnacentral:rRNA from 1 species